AACUCAUGGUGGGGGCACCUUCUCAAUAAGUCCUUAUACCUCUCCCAUGCAUCAUAUAAGGUUUCUAUGUCAAUUUGAACGAAUGAAGAGAUAUCAUUCCUCAACUU
rnacentral:snoRNA from 1 species